rnacentral:rRNA from 1 species
CCAGCAGCUGCGGUAAUUCCGGCUCCAAUAGCGUAUAUUUAAGUUGCUGCAGUUAAAAAGCUCGUAGUUGGAUUUCGGGUGGGGCCUGCCGGUCCGCCGUUUCGGUGUGCACUGGCCGGGCCCACCUUGCUGCCGGGGACGUGUUCCUGGGCUUCACUGUCCGGGACACGGAGUCGGCGAGGUUACUUUGAGUAAAUUAGAGUGUUCAAAGCAGGCCUACGCUCUGAAUACAUUAGCAUGGAAUAACACGAUAGGACUCUGGCCUAUCUUGUUGGUCUGUAGGACCGGAGUAAUGAUUAAGAGGGACAGUCGGGGGCAUUCGUAUUUCAUUGUCAGAGGUGAAAUUCUUGGAUUUGUUGGAGACGAACUACUGCGAAAGCAUUUGCCAAGGAUGUUUUCAUUGAUCAAGAACGAAAGU